rnacentral:rRNA from 1 species
AACGAACGCUGGCGGCGCGCCUAAUACAUGCAAGUCGAGCGAGAAGACGUAGCAAUACGUUUGUAAAGCGGCGAACGGGUGAGGAAUACAUGGGUAACCUACCCUCGAGUGGGGAAUAACUAGCCGAAAGGUUAGCUAAUACCGCGUACGCUCCUUGGACUUCGGUUCAGGGAGGAAAGCGAUACCGUGGGUAUCGCGCUCUUGGAUGGGCUCAUGUCCUAUCAGCUUGUUGGUGAGGUAACGGCUCACCAAGGCUUCGACGGGUAGCUGGUCUGAGAGGACGAUCAGCCACACUGGCACUGCGACACGGGCCAGACUCCUACGGGAGGCAGCAGUAAGGAAUAUUGCGUAAUGGGCGAAAGCCUGACGCAGCGACGCCGCGUGGGGGAUGAAGGUCUUCGGAUUGUAAACCCCGUUUCGGGUAGGGAAGAUGGAAUGGGGUAACCCGAUUCGGACGGUACCUCCAGAAGCAGCCACGGCUAACUUCGUGCCAGCCGCCGCAGUAAU